CCACGCCCUAAACGAUGAGUGCUAGGUGUCGGGAGUCAAAUCUCGGUGCCGCCGUUAACACAGUAAGCACUCCGCCUGGGGAGUACGCACGCAAGUGUGAAACUCAAAGGAAUUGACGGGGACCCGCACAAGUAGCGGAGCAUGUGGUUUAAUUCGACGCAACGCGAAGAACCUUACCAGGGCUUGACAUGACAGUGACGGGUUGU
rnacentral:rRNA from 1 species